GACGAGUGGCGGACGGGUGAGUAAUGUCUGGGAAACUGCCUGAUGGAGGGGGAUAACUACUGGAAACGGUAGCUAAUACCGCAUAACGUCGCAAGACCAAAGAGGGGGACCUUCGGGCCUCUUGCCAUCGGAUGUGCCCAGAUGGGAUUAGCUAGUAGGUGGGGUAACGGCUCACCUAGGCGACGAUCCCUAGCUGGUCUGAGAGGAUGACCAGCCACACUGGAACUGAGACACGGUCCAGACUCCUACGGGAGGCAGCAGUGGGGAAUAUUGCACAAUGGGCGCAAGCCUGAUGCAGCCAUGCCGCGUGUAUGAAGAAGGCCUUCGGGUUGUAAAGUACUUUCAGCGGGGAGGAAGGGAGUAAAGUUAAUACCUUUGCUCAUUGACGUUACCCGCAGAAGAAGCACCGGCUAACUCCGUGCCAGCAGCCGCGGUAAUACGGAGGGUGCAAGCGUUAAUCGGAAUUACUGGGCGUAAAGCGCACGCAGGCG
rnacentral:rRNA from 1 species